UCAAGAGGCGGGUGGCACCCGGCCGCCGGAGAGGCGCGCAUGGGCGCCUGCCUGUCGUCUGACGUACGAAUUAUGUGCGUGUUAGUAUGACUCUUGCAACCCGUUGAGUUGCAUCUUCUGACCUCCGUGUGCAUACUCCUUGACUGCUUCUGACCGCGGCCGGGACCCGGCAGCCGGACGACAACAAACGAGGUGACAAAGUGAGCGACAGGUUCGGCCUGAGGAGCAUUAUUCCUCAGUGCUGGCGCGUUGGUAUGACAGGCUGUUGGUUAGUACAG
rnacentral:lncRNA from 1 species